rnacentral:ncRNA from 1 species
UUUAAUACGUUGAUGAGAAGAGUAAACUAAAUUUCAUUUUCAGAGAGAGAUAAGCUUGGUGAAAUUAUCUUAUUUGAAUCUAGUUGAAGACCACCUCUGAGUGACUCUAAUAAAGUCCGUUUAAUAUCACGUUACGAUAUAUUAAGAGGUCUUAUUAUAGACAAUUAAGGGUGGAACCGCGGGAAGUUUAGAACUUAUACUCUCGUCCCUUCU